rnacentral:misc_RNA from 1 species
CACCACCAUCCGUCAAAUAUCGUACUGUGCUCUCCUCUCUCCCUUUUCGUUUUGUUUGCUACAACUACUAUUACUACUGCGGCUACUAAAGCUACUUCAUCGUCCUCUCCACCCUUGGCUCACCUCCCGCUCCGUCACCACCACCCUGUUGCCUCAUCUCUCUCCCUCUCUUCCUCCCUCCUUUACGACAAGACGCUGGAAAGAUGGGCCUACUCCCUCCGUUUGUAGGUGCCCUCCUCUUCACCGUCAUUCAGUUUUUGGUGCUGCUGUUCGUCGUCAUCGCUACACCUAUCUCCCAGAUUGAUUCCAAGACCAGCAGAACAUGCUAUACCUUCUGGGGAAUGAAGUCUGACUGUCGUAAGGUACAUUACACGGCAAAGGGCAAGGGUGCAUUCGGCAACUGUCGCCAGCGUCUCAACAACAUGAGUGGUGGCGCCGCAUUCGCCAUUGUUUCCGUUUUCACGACGUUGGCGGCACUCGUCUUUGGCAUUCUGAUGCUCAUACGGGUCUCCUGCGCGGUCGUCUUCCCGUUGAUCUUCACCUGCAUAUCUAUCUUCACCAUCUUCAUCAGCUGGGCUUGCGUGGCCGGCGCGUACACCAUCAAAAUGUGCGGUAUGAAGUGGAGUAACUAUUCCUUGGAAUACGGCCCGGGCUUUGGGCUCAUGAUCACGGCGUGGUGUCUUCAGAUUGUCAACGUGCUGGUGUUGGUGCUCAUUUCCUUUUUCUAAUCACCCAGUGGAGCACCACGUAAGCCACCCACACCAUUCGUGGGCAGCGUGCAAGGGAAGACGCGGAGCGCAAGAGGGACCGCGACGCUGAAUUGACGCAAAUCCAACAGCUCAUUGUGUGGCGGAGUGGUGCCGUUUUUUUUUUCCCACUGCCUCUCUUUCACUUACCAACUACGUAGACAGCGCACUCCUCUCGCCUCUUCCCUCUCCCACCACGCCGCCGUCGCCCACUUCCACAUUGGAGUACCUAUGUGAUUCCGCUUGUGUGCGUGUGCGUGUGUACGUGGAUCUCUGGUCUUUUCUUUCAAUGCCCGGAUUACAGGGAACGCACCGCUUGAUGCGUGGUAUCGCAGGGUCCAGUGCUCCCACUCUGUCUGGGGAGGCCGAGCAGCCCCCCUCCACUAUCCCCGCCAAAGGCCAGCCCGCUUCUCGUGGUGACAGAGUCAUGCACCGACGACGUAGGGGGGAGGUCGGAGUGAGUCACCGCCACUGCUGUCGGCGGUCAGGUCCUGGAUGGCGCUGCGGUGGGGGCACCUGCAACAGUGAGCACGCUUGUGCCAUCCGUGUGGUGGGUGGAGCUCCGGCGUGACUCUGGCGUGCCCCCCACCCGGCCCUCACACUGCCUUGCUGGUGGGGGAGCCUGGGCCACCGCGGGCGGGAUGCGGCGGGUGGGGACGGGCAUGGUGGUGGGGGGGCGGCUGUGGGGCGGCCUGCGGGGUCAGGGGCGAGUAGAUUGUGAGGCGCGGGGUCCUUGCCGUGAUGCGUGCCUGCUGCUGCUUUUCGCGAGGCGAUGGGGCCUGCGGGCAGGGCUGUGUCGAGCGUGGGCUGGGUCAUGCUCUGUGGCAGAGGGGACGUGGUGGAAAGCGCAAGUAUGUAUACUGUGCGUGGACCUCCAUUUCUCUCUCCCACCCCGCCCCCUCCACUGACUCACCACCCGCCCAUCUCGUUCGUCCAUGUUUCGCAUGCGAACUUGCUCACACAGACACACACACACACGCACAGCAUUGUUGCUUUCCAAAGAGAUGGUGGCAGGCGAAUGUGCUUGUGCGCGUGUGUAUGUGCUUAGACCACUGCAAGAGAAGCAGUUUCUCUCUGCACGACGCGAUGCGUGCAAGUCCCUUCUUCCUCCCUCCCCUUUCUCUCAGUCACCCUCCGCACAUUUCUUUCUUUUUUUUCCUACCAUCGUUCAGGCAGGAAAAUCAUCAGAUACAAAAAAGCAGGGGCGAUACGUAUUCUCUGUGUGUAUGUGCGUCUGCACGUGUGCGCGCGUAUGAGAGGCGACCGGCCGAAGAGGCAGAGUGAAAAAGACGAACUCGUUUAGUUUGGCGAAGGCGUGCCUGGAGCAGUCCAUAAGGACUUCCCACGCUCGCUCGCUCUCUCUUGCCCCUUUUCGCUCGCUCCCCUUCCGAGGGCCCCGCGCGCGAGUGCCCCCCCCCCCUCGUCCCCGUCCCAGCGGGAAAUUUUCGGUUAUUAUUAUUUUUUUUUACCCCUCCUUGUAGGCUCGCUCUAUUUAUAUUGGUACAUUCUCCCUUCUCGGCACACAGUGGUGCGACGACGUUCGGGAGACGGUCAAGUGUUUUCUCCUUGACCAUUACUGCAAGCGAUAUUUUCGGUCGACCUAUCAGCUCUACCUCUUGCUGCCGUUUUCUGUGAGAAGGGCGCCCCCGGUAACCCUACUGCCCCUCCUCUCUCUUGUUAUUUCUACUGUACUUGUUUUCAGAGCGAGCCCCACCUCCCCAGCCGACCCUCUUCAUGUCCUCACCCGUUGAGACAGGAAGCUGGAAGGAUGCGUGGCGCCGCACCCCCAUCCGUGCGCCCAAGACACAAGCCUACAUUUAUGAAUGCGCUUCUAUGAAAAGACGCGCUCUGUGCUUGGCCGCGAUGGUCCUUCGGUGGAAGCAGCGCGAUCGCACACACCGCCCAGAAGUCCGAUCGAUAGAGACGAAUAUGCGGACUCGCGAAUGGCUUUGGCGUAACUCAUUCUCGCCCCCCGAUCAUCCUCCGCUCCUUCUUCUUCGCCGUGGAUUGCGAUAAACACCAACACACAUACACGCAUAG